rnacentral:rRNA from 1 species
UACGGGGGGGGCAAGCGUUGUUCGGAAUUACUGGGCGUAAAGGCUCGUAGGCGGCCAACUAAGUCGGACGUGAAAUCCCUCGGCUUAACCGGGGAACUGCGUCCGAUACUGGAUGGCUUGAGUUCGGGAGAGGGAUGCGGAAUUCCAGGUGUAGCGGUGAAAUGCGUAGAUAUCUGGAGGAACACCGGUGGCGAAGGCGGCAUCCUGGACCGACACUGACGCUGAGGAGCGAAAGCCAGGGGAGCAAACGGG